GACGAACGCUGGCGGCGUGCUUAACACAUGCAAGUCGAACGGAAAGGCCCUGCUUGUGUGGGGUGCUCGAGGGGCGAACGGGUGAGUAACACGUGAGUAACCUACCCUUGACUUUGGGAGAACUUCAGGAAACUGGGGCUAAUACCGGAUAGGAGCUCCUGCUGGAGGGGGGGGGUUGGAAAGUUUGGGGGGUGGGGGAUGGACGCGCGGCUUAUCAGCUUGUGGGUGGGGUGGUGGCUUACCAAGGCUUGGACGGGUAGCCGGCCUGGGAGGGUGACCGGCCAAAUUGGGCCUGAGUUACGGCCCAGCCUCCUACGGGAGGCAGCAGUGGGGAAUAUUGCCCAAUGGGCGGAAGCCUGUUGCAGCACCGCCGCGGGCGGGAUGCCGGCCUUCGGGUUGAAAACCGCUUUAGCAUGUGACGAAGCGUGAGUGACGGUAAUGGGUAAAGAAGCACCGGCUAACUACGUG
rnacentral:rRNA from 1 species